rnacentral:rRNA from 1 species
ACUGCUCAGUAACACGUGGACAACCUGCCCUUAGGUUGGGUAUAAACCCGGGAAACUGGGUAUAAUACCCGAUAGGUCUCGAUUGCUGGAAUGCAUCGAGAUUUAAAGCUCCGGCGCCUAAGGAUGGGUCUGCGGCCUAUCAGGUAGUAGUGGGUGUAGCGUACCUACUAGCCUACGACGGGUACGGGUUGUGAGAGCAAGAGCCCGGAGAUGGAUUCUGAGACACGAAUCCAGGCCCUACGGGGUGCAGCAGGCGCGAAAACUUUACAAUGCUGGCAACAGCGAUAAGGGAACCUCGAGUGCCAGGUUACAAAUCUGGCUGUCGAGAUGCCUAAAAAGCAUUUCAUAGCAAGGGCCGGGCAAGACCGGUGCCAGCCGCCGCGGUAACACCGGCGGCUCGAGUGGUAACCGUUAUUAUUGGGUCUAAAGGGUCUGUAGCCGGCCGGAUAAGUCUCUUGAGAAAUCUGGCAGCUUAACUGUCAGGCUUUCAGGAGAUACUGUUCGGCUCGAGGCCGGGAGAGGUGAGAGGUACUUCAGGGGUAGGGGUGAAAUCUUGUAAUCCUUGAAGGACCACCAGUGGCGAAGGCGUCUCACCAGAACGGACCUGACGGCAAGGGACGAAAGCUAGGGGCACGAACCGGAUUAGAUACCCGGGUAGUCCUAGCCGUAAACGAUACUCGCUGGGUGUCGGCCACGGUGCGACCGUUGUCGGUGCCGUAGGGAAGCCGUGAAGCGAGCCACCUGGGAAGUACGGCCGCAAGGCUGAAACUUAAAGGAAUUGGCGGGGGAGCACCACAACGGGUGGAGCUUGCGGUUUAAUUGGAUUCAACGCCCGGG